UCUCCGUUGGUGAACCAGCGGAGGGAUCAUUAAAGAGUUGCAAAACUCCAACCCCUGUGAACCUUACCUGUACGUUGCUUCGGCGGCCGACGCCACGCCCAGCCGGGCCUGGGGGACGCCGCCGGAGGUCUUAAACCCUGAAUUCUAGCUGUUUUUGUACCAUCUGAGUCUUCCACAAAUAAACAAAACUUUCAACAACGGAUCUCUUGGUUCUG
rnacentral:misc_RNA from 1 species